rnacentral:rRNA from 1 species
UACGGAGGGUGCAAGCGUUAUCCGGAUUCACUGGGUUUAAAGGGUGCGUAGGUGGGUUGGUAAGUCAGUGGUGAAAUCCCCGAGCUUAACUCGGGAACUGCCAUUGAUACUAUUAAUCUUGAAUACCGUGGAGGUCAGCGGAAUAUGUCAUGUAGCGGUGAAAUGCUUAGAUAUGACAUAGAACACCAAUUGCGAAGGCAGCUGGCUACUCGAGUAUUGACACUGAGGCACGAAAGCGUGGGGAUCAAACAGG